GUCGAGCGAACGGACGAGAAGCUUGCUUCUCUGAUGUUAGCGGCGGAGGGAGAGUAACACGUGGAUAACCUACCUAUAAGACUGGGAUAACUUCGGGAAACCGGAGCUAAUACCGGAUAAUAUUUUGAACCGCAUGGUUCAAAAGUGAAAGACGGUCUUGCUGUCACUUAUAGAUGGAUCCGCGCUGCAUUAGCUAGUUGGUAAGGUAACGGCUUACCAAGGCAACGAUGCAUAGCCGACCUGAGAGGGUGAUCGGCCACACUGGAACUGAGACACGGUCCAGACUCCUACGGGAGGCAGCAGUAGGGAAUCUUCCGCAAUGGGCGAAAGCCUGACGGAGCAACGCCGCGUGAGUGAUGAAGGUCUUCGGAUCGUAAAACUCUGUUAUUAGGGAAGAACAUAUGUGUAAGUAACUGUGCACAUCUUGACGGUACCUAAUCAGAAAGCCACGGCUAACUACGUGCCAGCAGCCGCGGUAAUACGUAGGUGGCAAGCGUUAUCCGGAAUUAUUGGGCGUAAAGCGCGCGUAGGCGGUUUUUUAAGUCUGAUGUGAAAGCCCACGGCUCAACCGUGGAGGGUCAUUGGAAACUGGAAAACUUGAGUGCAGAAGAGGAAAGUGGAAUUCCAUGUGUAGCGGUGAAAUGCGCAGAGAUAUGGAUAGAACACCAGUGGCGAAGGCGACUUUCUGGUCUGUAAACUGACGCUGAUGUGCGAAAGCGUGGGGAUCAAACAGGAUUAGAUACCCUGGUAGUCCACGCCGUAAACGAUGAGUGCUAAGUGUUAGGGGGUUUCCGCCCCUUAGUGCUGCAGCUAACGCAUUAAGCACUCCGCCUGGGGAGUACGACCGCAAGGUUGAAACUCAAAGGA
rnacentral:rRNA from 1 species